AUUGAACGCUGGCGGCAGGCCUAACACCUGCAAGUCGAGCGGAGCGGCGGACGGGUGAGUAAUGCCUAGGACUCUGCCUGGUAGUGGUGGAUAACGUCCGGCAACGGGCGAUAAUACCGCAUACUCGCAGAUGAGCCUAGGUCGGAUUAGCUAGUUGGUGGGGUAAAGGCCUACCAAGGCGACGAUCCGUAACUGGUUUGAGAGGAUGAUCAGUCACACUGGAACGGAGACACGGUCCAGACUCCGACGGGAGGCAGAAGUGGGGAAUAGUGGACAAUGGGCGAAAGCCUGAUCCAGACAGGCUGCGUGUGUGAAGAAGGUCUUCGGAUUGUAAAGCACUUUAAGUUGGGAGGCGUUACCUACAGAAUAAGCACCGGCUAACUGCGUGCCAGCAGCCGCGGUAAUUC
rnacentral:rRNA from 1 species